rnacentral:rRNA from 1 species
CGGACCUGACUGCUAUCGGAUUGAUACUAAGCCAUGCGAGUCAUUGUAGCAAUACAAGGCAUACGGCUCAGUAACGCGUAGUCAACCUAACCUAUGGACGGGAAUAACCUCGGGAAACUGAGAAUAAUGCCCGAUAGAACAUUAUGCCUGGAAUGGUUUAUGUUCCAAAUGAUUUAUCGCCGUAGGAUGGGACUGCGGCCUAUCAGUUUGUUGGUGAGGUAAUGGCCCACCAAGACUAUUACAGGUACGGGCUCUGAGAGGAGUAGCCCGGAGGUGGGUACUGAGACACGGACCCAGGCCCUAUGGGGCGCAGCAGGCGAGAAAACUUUGCAAUGUGCGAAAGCACGACAAGGUUAAUCCGAGUGGUUUCUGCUAAAGGAACCUUUUGUCAGUCCUAGAAACACUGAUGAAUAAGGGGUGGGCAAGUUCUGGUGUCAGCCGCCGCGGUAAAACCAGCACCUCAAGUGGUCAGGAUGAUUAUUGGGCCUAAAGCAUCCGUAGCCGGCUCUGUAAGUUUUCGGUUAAAUCUGUACGCUCAACGUACAGGCUGCCGGGAAUACUGCAAAGCUAGGGAGUGGGAGAGGUAGACGGUACUCGGUAGGAAGAGGUAAAAUCCUUUGAUCUAUUGAUGACCACCUGUGGCGAAGGCGGUCUACCAGAACACGUCCGACGGUGAGGGAUGAAAGCUGGGGGAGCAAACCGGAUUAGAUACCCGGGUAGUCCAGCUGUAAACCAUGCAAACUCAGUGAUGCAUUGGCUUGUGGCCAAUGCAGUGCUGCAGGGAAGCCGUUAAGUUUGCCGCCUGGGAAGUACGUACGCAAGUAUGAAACUUAAAGGAAUUGGCGGGG